rnacentral:rRNA from 1 species
GGGGACCACCCUCCAAGCCUAAGUACUCGUGCAUGACCGAUAGYGAACAAGUACCGUGAGGGAAAGGUGAAAAGCACCCCRACRAGGGGAGUGAAAUAGAACCUGAAACCGGUUGCCUACAAACAGUCGGAGCCCGCAAGGGUGACGGCGUACCUUUUGUAUAAUGGGUCARCGACUUAGUGUGACGAGCAAGCUUAAGCCGGUAGGUGWAGGCGCAGCGAAAGCGAGUCUGAACAGGGCGUUCAGUUCGUCGCAWUAGACCCGAAACSRRGUGAUCUAGCCAUGAGCAGGUUGAAGGUURGGUAACACYAACUGGAGGACCGAACCCGCAUCUGUUGCAAUAGAUUGGGAUGACUUGUGGCUAGGGGUGAAAGGCCAAUCAAACUCGGAAAUAGCUGGUUCUCCGCGAAAACUAUUUAGGUAGUGCGUCGACCGAAUACCCUCGGGGGUAGAGCACUGGAUGGGCUAUGGGGACUCACCGUCUUACUGAUCCUAACCAAACUCCGAAUACCSAGGAGUACUAKYCGGCAGACACACGGCGGGUGCUAACGUCCGUCGUGAARAGGGMAACAACCCUGACCUCCAGCUAAGGUCCCCAAGUCAUGGCUAAGUGGGAAAGGAUGUGAGGAUCCCAAAACAACCAGGAUGUUGGCUUAGAAGCAGCCAUCAUUUAAAGAAAGCGUAACAGCUCACUGGUCUAAAUAAGGGUCUUUGCGCCGAAAAUGUAACGGGGCUAAAGCCAUGCACCGAAGCUGAGGAUUUCUCUUAAUUGAGGAGUGGUAGCGGAGCGUUCCGUAAGCCUGUGAAGGGAUACCUGUGAGGGGUCCUGGAGGUAUCGGAAGUGMGAAUGYUGACAUGAGUAACGAUAAAGGGKGUGAGAGACCCCCUCGCCGAAAGACCAAGGGUUCCUGCUUAAAGUUAAUCUGAGCAGGGUUAGCCGGCCCCUAAGAUGAGGCAGAAAUGCGUAGUCGAUGGGAACCACGUUAAUAUUCGUGGGCCUGGUGGUAGUGACGGAUUGCGUAACUUGUUCAGACUUAUUGGAUUGUCUGGGCGGGGAAGCGGUUCCAGGAAAUAGCUCCACCGUAUAGACCGUACCCGAAACCGACACAGGUGGUCAGGUAGAGYAUACCAAGGCGCUUGAGAGAACURUGCUGAAGGAACUCGGCAAAUUGCACGCGUAACUUCGGAAKAAGCGUGACCCCACAGGACGCAAGUCUUUUGGGGUGGCACAGACCAGGGGGUAGCGACUGUUUAUCAAAAACACAGGGCUCUGCGAAGUUGCAAAACGACGUAUAGGGUCUGACGCCUGCCCGGUGCUGGAAGGUUAAGAGGAGAGGUGCAAGCUUUGAAUCGAAGCCCCAGUAAACGGCGGCCGUAACUAUAACGGUCCUAAG